rnacentral:rRNA from 1 species
UACGUAGGGUGCGAGCGUUGUCCGGAAUUAUUGGGCGUAAAGGGCUCGUAGGCGGUCUGUUGCGUCGGGAGUGAAAACUCAGGGCUUAACCCUGAGCCUGCUUCCGAUACGGGCAGACUAGAGGUAUGCAGGGGAGAACGGAAUUCCUGGUGUAGCGGUGAAAUGCGCAGAUAUCAGGAGGAACACCGGUGGCGAAGGCGGUUCUCUGGGCAUUACCUGACGCUGAGGAGCGAAAGUGUGGGGAGCAAACGGG